CAGCCGCCGCGGUAAUACGUAGGGUGCAAGCGUUAAUCGGAAUUACUGGGCGUAAAGCGUGCGCAGGCGGUUUGUUAAGUCUGCUGUGAAAUCCCCGGGCUCAACCUGGGAAUGGCAGUGGAUACUGGCAAGCUAGAGUGUGUCAGAGGAUGGUGGAAUUCCCGGUGUAGCGGUGAAAUGCGUAGAGAUCGGGAGGAACAUCAGUGGCGAAGGCGGCCAUCUGGGACAACACUGACGCUGAGGCACGAAAGCGUGGGGAGCAAACAGGAUUAGAUACCCCGGUAGUCCCUGUCUCUUAUAA
rnacentral:rRNA from 1 species